UGGACAUGUGCGGUAGUCACACGAAGGAAUUAAUCGAUCUCGAUGGGAUCUCGCUCUGCGGUUGGGCGUCUCCUCUUCUUCCCCAAUUCCUGAUCUAGUCUCCAAGAACAGCGCCGCCCUUCCCAUGCCUUUCUGAUUUUAAGGUCGCGACCAACCAUUGACGGAGACAAAUGGCGCAAUUCCAGUCCCCAAUUAGCUCUUCUUCAUGCCGUACAUUCUUCUCCAUCCCCAUAUGGUUGAUAGAUGAUAUUACAGACUGAGGUUUCCAUGGAUUCGUUCUUUUCUUGCGUCCGAUCCAACCAUCCAUAUUAAGGUGCUUUCCUUCCUUGACCA